CCUGUUGCACAAAAGUAGAAUUAAGACAUCCGGGAUAAAUGACUCAGCUGAGCUCAAUGAAGCCAAAACAUGUGCCCAGGCUUAAUUGGCUGCACAAAGACCAAGCCAGGAUGAGCAGACACGGAUUCAUUAAGCCAGGUGAAACCAAUCCUGGAUAGGUGCGCGCUCACGGCUCACUCAAAUAGACCCCGCCACAGAUCACAGAUUAACUGAUUUACCAUGGCAACUAGAGCCGCGUACUUUUCCCCGUCGGAAGCACAAAUCCUCAUGGAGGCAUACGAGGAGGUAAAAGAUAUAAUUAAGAAGAAAGGCAACACCGCCACAGUGAUAAAGCAAAGAGAAAAAGCGUGGCAAAGUAUUGCAGACCGCCUGAAUGCAUUAAACAUGAACGGGCCAAAACGGACAUGGCAGCAGGUCAAAAUCAAAUACAAGAACAUUCUGCAGAAUGGUAUGGUCCCUGACUAAUAUUUAACAAAGCACAAGCAUAUAUUGUACCCAGAAGGUGCCUGCUCACACAUUGUCUGUACUGUUUUAGCAGUGAAAAAGAAUACCCACAGACAAGGCACGGGUGGUGGGUCACCAAAGGCUGACCUUACCCCAGCAGAGGACAUGGCCUUGGAGCUAAAUAAAGGCAGGCCCGUCUUAGAGGGGAUCCCUGGGGGAAAGAGACGAGCAUAGGUUCCUCCCAAGAUGCCACCCGCUUCAUUCAAGUGUCUGGCAGCACUGUGUUCCUGUUAGAGCCACCAGCACAAGCACCAGACGAUGCUGAUCCAGGUGAAGGCCCCAGUGCAGCAGCAACAGCACAUGAUGGAGACGAUGAUGAUGAGGAGGAGACCAUCUCUCUGGAUUCCAGAAGGCAUGAGGUAUCAUGGACCCAGAUGCUAUACAGUGGGAAAACCAUCCUGGCAACAUAGUGCGUAUUAAUAAAAGGACACCACAUCCUGCCAAAUUCCAGCUGCGCUAAUUGUAUUGUGUUCACAGAGCUCACAAGCUAUCAGAAAGUUGUAUGGCAACCACCUCCGGCGCCAAAUAGAACUGGCAGACAUAGACAUUCAGUACAAGAAGAAAAAGAUGGAAAAUCUUGCACUGGAGUCCGAAAUAAAAAGAGGACAAUUAGGAAACUGGACCUUGAAAUAAAAAAACUUGAGAGGGAGGUGAGAUAUGCCUUCAAUGUACACUGUAUGCUAACUGUAACACAAAUGUAUUAAUCAUUAUUUGUAUUUCCUCCCCCAGCUCCAAGAAGAUGACACAGCUCAAAAUAAAAAUUAGGUAUAUUCUCGUAAAGUCAAGUGAGCCAUGACAUAUGAGCUCUUAUUGUGAGCACACA